CUACGGUGAUGACAAUCUUAGGACACCUUUGGAAUUAUGAUGAAAAAAAAAACCGUUUUGUUCUGAGUGGC